GUCCCGGUAGCUCAAUUGGUAGAGCAGCUAUAUACGUGGUGAGCGAAAUCGACUAGCAAUAACUGCCAGGAGGUCGCAAGAUCGAAGCUUGCCCGGAAUU